AGUUUCAAUGCCACCUCUUUAGAAAGUCUCCCACCCCUACUCAACCCUCAAAACAACAUGCAGAUUUGAUGGUGUUGUUAUGGACUCCUGCAGCAACCCAGUGGUAGAGACCACAUCUGUCUCUGUGUCUCAAGCACCUAGGAUAAUGCCUGGCUCAUAACAAGCCUUUGCACUGCAGCUGACUAGCUUGUUCCUCCCUGGUAAGAGGCCCACUGACCACGGAGUGGGCCUGACCAGUCUACGGAGGCUGCAUGGAGAGGCUUUUCCUGUAUUCUGCUUCACCUUUUGACAUCAGAGGACUGAAAACUCCACCCUCGGAUCAUGGAGCUGUGUCCCCAUCUGCCUUCUACAGGCAGCGCCUGGGCCGGCCGGCCUGUGUGUCUGCACAAAUCUCUGUUGCUGGGGGACCCUGCCCAGGACCUGGGAUGCCACUGGAAGUGAAGACGGAGGGCUGCUUCUGUAGUUAAUUUGUGUACCUGCAGUUCAUUUCCCUUCUAAUUUUGGGCUUAAAAAGGCAGCCUUGAGGGGAAAAGGCAGAGGCAGCUUUUGAUGUCAGAACUCUCCCACCUACCUGCCCCCCUCCUGCCUGUUCUGCUCUAGGCACCUCCCCAACCUCCCAGCAUAAUCAACAGAGGAAGAGGGGGCGUGAUUGG